rnacentral:rRNA from 1 species
GUGCAGCAGGCGAGAAUUUUUCUCAAUGGGGGAAACCCUGAAGGAGCGACGCCGCGUGAAGGAUGAAGGUCUUCGGAUUGUAAACUUCUGUCAUUAGGGAACAAAUCUUCCAAGUAACUACUGGAAGUCUGAUAGUACCUGAAGAGGAAGAGACGGCUAACUCUGUGCCAGCAGCCGCGGUAAUACAGAGGUCUCAACCGUUGUUCGGAUUCAUUGGGCGUAAAGGGUGCGUAGGCGGCGGAGUAAGUCAGGUGUGAAAUCUCGGGGCUCAACCCCGAAACUGCACUUGAUACUGCUUCGCUUGAGUACUGGAGAGGAGACUGGAAUUUACGGUGUAGCAGUGAAAUGCGUAGAUAUCGUAAGGAAGACCAGUGGCGAAGGCGAGUCUCUGGACAGUUACUGACGCUGAGGCACGAAGGCCAGGGGAGCAAACGGGAUUAGAUACCCGCGUAGU